UAAUCAAGCUGGAUCAUAGCUGGUUCUCGCCGAAACAUAUUUAGGUAUGGCGUCCGAGGUUUUCUGCUGCGGAGGUAAAGCACUGGAUGGGCUAGGGGUCCUACCAGAUUACCAAACCCAACCAAACUCUGAAUGCCGCAGACAGCGACCCGGGCAGACAGGCUAUGAGAGCUAAGUUCCAUGGCCAAAAGGGAAAGAGCCCAGACCGUCAGCUAAGGUCCCCAAAUCAGUGCUAAGUGGGAAAGGAUGUGGAGGCACAUAGACAGCCAGGAGGUUGGCUUAGAAGCAGCCAUCCUUUAAAGAAAGCGUAAUAGCUCACUGGUCAAGUGAAUCUGCGCCGAAAAUGUAACGGGGCUAAAGCAUUGUACCGAAGCUACGGAUUGGAGUUAGAUCUUCGGAUCUAGUCCACUGGUAGGCGAGCAUUCUCUGGACUGUGAAGGUCAACCGUAAGGAUGGCUGGAGUGCAGAGAAGAGCUUAUGCAGGAUUGAGUAGCGAUAAAACAGGUGAAAAACCUGUUCGCCGUAAGCCCAAGGGUUCCUGGGUCAAGUUAAUCUUCCCAGGGUUAGUCGGUCCCUAAGCCAAGGCCGAAAGGCGUAGGUGAUGGGAAGCAGGUUAAUAGUCCUGCACCAUAUUGGAUGGUUUCUACAGGAGGGACGGAGAAGGACAGUCGAGCGAGAUAUUGGAUACUCGUUCAAGCCCGUAGAAGGAACCGUUAGGAGGCCUAGUGCCACAAACGGCGGUUCAACUUCGAGAGGUGAUGAGGAGAGCGCUUGCGCUCACAAACUCGAUGAUUCCCAGCUCCCAAGAAAAGCUCCGGUAGAGUCAACCGCUGAUGUGACCGUACCGCAAACCGACACAGGUGGGCGGGGAGAAGAUCCCAAGGCGCUUGAGAGAACCCUGCUUAAGGAACUCGCAAAAUGACACCGUAACUUCGGGAGAAGGUGCGCCCUCAUUACGUGAACCGCGCACGCGGGGAGCGGAAGGGGGUUGCAGAGAAUCGGGGGUAGCGACUGUUUAACAAAAACACAGCACUCUGCGAAGUCGCAAGACGACGUAUAGGGUGUGAUGCCUGCCCGGUGCUGGAAGGUUAAAGAGAGAACUCAGCCGCAAGGCAAAGGUUCGAACUGAAGCCCCAGUAAACGGCGGCCGUAACAAUAACGGUCCUAAGGUAGCGAAAUUCCUUGUCGGGUAAGUUCCGACCUGCACGAAUGGCAUAACGACUUCCCCACUGUCUCGAGCAGGGACUCAGCGAAGUAGCACUAGGGGUGAAGAUACCCUUUACCCACGGCAGGACGGAAAGACCCCGUGAACCUUCACUACAGCUUGACAUUGUUUGACGGAAGAUUUUGCGUAGGAUAGGUGGGAGGCUUUGAAGUCGGGAUUCUGGUCUCGAUGGAGCCAACGUUGAAAUACCACCCUGAAUGUUCUGGCAAACUAACCUGCACCCGUGGGCCGGGUGGGGGACACUGUCUGGUGGGUAGUUUGACUGGGGCGGUCGCCUCCCG
rnacentral:rRNA from 1 species